GGGUCGAGGGAGUGACAAUUAAUAUGGUAUCAGAGCAUAAAUAGACACGUUAUGAUACGUUGAAUCAGAUAUAGGAUGAGUGUAGGUGGGUAGACACUAGGAACACUAGAAUAUAGAUCUAUGAUGAUUGCAUUAUAUGUUAUCUUUAUGAUUUUUGACUAAAUCUUGUGAUUAUGAAUAAAAAGAUCACUUAGAAAUAAUGAUUCAAAAGGUUUGAUAUAUGAUCCAGUAAUCUAUGAAUCAUGAUAUGAUUAGUUAGAUUUUGAUCAAAAGUAAUGACAAAAGUAUUGAUCAUAAAAUUUUAUCAUGCAUUAUGAUUAUUAAUAAUGACC
rnacentral:lncRNA from 1 species